UAAUAGUGUAUAUUAAAGUUGUUGCAGUUAAAAAGCUCGUAGUUGAAUGUUGGUGUCGAACGAGCGGUCAGCUUCGGCUGUACUGCUCUCUCGACUCCUUCCUUCUGUGGGCUAUGUCGCACUUUACUGUGUGGCGCUAGGACGCAGAUCGUUUACUGUGAAAAAAUUAGAGUGUUCAAAGCAGGCCGUACGCUUGAAUACAUUAGCAUGGAAUAAUGGAAUAGGACGUCGGGCCUAUUUUGUUGGUUCUAGGACCGUCGUAAUGAUUAAUAGGGACAGUUGGGGCCGUUUAUAUUCCGUAGUCAGAGGUGAAAUUCUUGGAUUUACGGAAGAUAAACUACUGCGAAAGCAUUCGGCAAGGAUGUUUUCGUUAA
rnacentral:rRNA from 1 species